UAGGAGUGGGACAAGCUAGCUCAGAAUCCAUUUCUUGCCUUUUACCAGAGAUGGCCGUGGCUUUGCCCAAAAUACUCCGCUCCUCAAUCUUUGGAAGAACUCUCGACUACAGUCAG
rfam:Tncinocarpus reesii 1704 scaffold_3 genomic scaffold, whole genome shotgun sequence.